ACUCCUACGGGAGGCAGCAGUGGGGAAUAUUGCACAAUGGGGGAAACCCGUGAUGCAGCCAUGCCGCGUGUGUGAAGAAGGCCUUCGGGUUGUAAAGCACUUUCAGUAGGGGGAAGGGAGUAGUGUAGUUAACACCUGCAUUAUUUGACGUUACCUACAGAAGAAGCACCGGCUAACUCCGUGCCAGCAGCCGCGGUAAUACGGAGGGUGCGAGCGUUAAUCGGAAUUACUGGGCGUAAAGCGCAUGCAGGCGGCCCUGUUAAGUCAGAUGUGAAAGCCCGGGGCUUAACCUCGG
rnacentral:rRNA from 1 species